UGCCAGCAGCCGCGGUAAUACGGAGGGGGCUAGCGUUGUUCGGAAUCACUGGGCGUAAAGCGCGCGUAGGCGGGCUGGUCAGUUGAGGGUGAAAUCCCGGGGCUUAACCUCGGAACUGCCUUCAAUACUGCCAGUCUUGAGUUCGAGAGAGGUGAGUGGAAUUCCUAGUGUAGAGGUGAAAUUCGUAGAUAUUAGGAAGAACACCAGUGGCGAAGGCGGCUCACUGGCUCGAUACUGACGCUGAGGUGCGAAAGCGUGGGGAGCAAACAGGAUUAGAUA
rnacentral:rRNA from 1 species